rnacentral:rRNA from 1 species
GACGAACGCUGGCGGCGUGCUUAACACAUGCAAGUCGAACGGAAAGGCCCUGCUUUUGUGGGGUGCUCGAGUGGCGAACGGGUGAGUAACACGUGAGUAACCUGCCCUUGACUUUGGGAUAACUUCAGGAAACUGGGGCUAAUACCGGAUAGGAGCUCCUGCUGCAUGGUGGGGGUUGGAAAGUUUCGGCGGUUGGGGAUGGACUCGCGGCUUAUCAGCUUGUUGGUGGGGUAGUGGCUUACCAAGGCUUUGACGGGUAGCCGGCCUGAGAGGGUGACCGGCAAAGUUGGGAGGGAGAGACGGCCCAGAGACGUAGGGGAGGGAGAGGGGGGGAAUAUUGCAGGUGGGGGGGCGGCGUGAGGCAGCACGGCGGCGUGCGGGAUGACGGCCUGGUGGUUGGAAACGGUGUUGCACUGGGAGGAAGCUGGAGUGAGGGGAAGGGAAAAAGAAGCAGCGGCUAACUACGCGCCAGCGGGGGGGGUACGGCGAAAGAGCACACCAUGACC